AGUGAACGCUGGCGGUAGGCCUAACACAUGCAAGUCGAACGGCAGCACAGGAGAGCUUGCUCUCUGGGUGGCGAGUGGCGGACGGGUGAGGAAUACAUCGGAAUCUACUUUUUCGUGGGGGAUAACGUAGGGAAACUUACGCUAAUACCGCAUACGACCUACGGGUGAAAGCAGGGGACCUUCGGGCCUUGCGCGAUUGAAUGAGCCGAUGUCGGGUUAGCUAGUUGGCGGGGUAAAGGCCCACCAAGGCGACGAUCCGUAGCUGGUCUGAGAGGAUGAUCAGCCACACUGGAACUGAGACACGGUCCAGACUCCUACGGGAGGCAGCAGUGGGGAAUAUUGGACAAUGGGCGCAAGCCUGAUCCAGCCAUACCGCGUGGGUGAAGAAGGCCUACGAGUUGUAAAGCCCUUUUGUUGGGAAAGAAAUCCAGCUGGCUAAUACCCGGUUGGGAUGACGGUACCCAAAGAAUAAGCACCGGCUAACUUCGUGCCAGCCGCCGCCGUAA
rnacentral:rRNA from 1 species